rnacentral:rRNA from 1 species
UACGGGGGGAGCAAGCGUUGUUCGGAUUCACUGGGUUUAAAGGGUGCGUAGGUGGGUAAGUAAGUCAGUGGUGAAAUCUCCGGGCUUAACUCGGAAAGGUCAACUGAUACUGUGCGACUAGAGUGCAGAAGGGGCAACUGGAAUUCUCGGUGUAGCGGUGAAAUGCGUAGAUAUCGAGAGGAACACCUGCGGCGAAGGCGGGUUGCUGGGCUGACACUGACGCUGAUGCGCGAAAGCCAGGGGAGCGAACGGG